GUAGGUGGCAAGCGUUGUCCGGGAAUUAUUGGGGGCGUAAAGCGCGCGCAGGCGGUCCUUUAAGUCUGAUGUGAAAGCCCACGGGCUCAACCGUGGGAGGGGUCAUUGGAAACUGGGGGACUUGAGUGCAGAAGAGGAGAGUGGAAUUCCACGUGUAGCGGUGAAAUGCGUAGAGAUGUGGAGGGACACCAGUGGCGAAGGCGACUCUCUGGUCUGUAACUGACGCUGAGGCGCGAAAGCGUGGGGAGCGAACAGGAUUAGAUACCCUGGUAGUCCACGCCGUAAACGAUGAGUGCUAAGUGUUAGAGGGUUUCCGCCCUUUAGUGCUGCAGCUAACGCAUUAAGCACUCCGCCUGGGGAGUACGGUCGCAAAGACUG
rnacentral:rRNA from 1 species